AACACUAUAAAAUCGAUAACUUUGUUCUAAAAAACACAUUAUUUUGUUAAUAAUUGUAUUUACUUUAAUUUGUUAGAAUGGCACCUGCUCGUGGCUCACAAUCACAAGGCAAACCUGGCAGGAAACCAGCUAAAGGUCCUGGCAAGGUGGCACACAAGCAAAAACCCAAUUUCAAGAGCAAAAACCAGCCAAAACCCAAGGCAAAUAAACCCAAUAAACCCGAGAUUCGCAGGAAUAAGCGAAAUGAAAAGAUUGCCCAGGAGAGAGCAGAGCAGGAGAAGGUGCGGGCGGAGCGAGAUGCCCGGGUAAAGGCCUACAAAAAGCAACGUUUGGAGAAGACCAAGGCGAUCAGUAAGAAAACGCAGCGUGGACAACCGCUGAUGAAGGAUCGGAUGCAGCUCCUGCUGAAACAGAUCGAGGAGAUGAAACGUCGCUAAGAAUUCCUUGGUUUUUUUGUAUUUAAAUUCCAGCUAAUGUAUACGAUUUUAUGAUGCUAUAAAAAAUACAAAAAAUACACAGAUAAGCAGAAAAUAUAUACAAUAAAAUCUUCGAUUUCCAUGGAAUCCACUAGAGAAUUCAAUUCCAUCUACAAUCAAAGCUGAUAACAGCUCCUAUUUAAAUAGCAAAGCAAUCUCAACCAGAAAAUCAUUCGUCGCUCAACACUCAAAUCGAAAGCUUUUUUUUAUUUAUUAUAAAACAAAAACUAUUAAAAUGAAUUACUUCAAAUUCUGCUGGUCUCUCGCUGUUGUGGUCUACACCUGCUCGGAAGAUCUACUUGCCUUGCCCAAGCGACGAUCCAAGCAAAAAGGAUCCAGGCUGUCAAAAAAAUCAACAUGAAUAUUAACCACAAAAAAAUUCACAUUAAUUAAGGCUGGAUUCUAUGGAGUCACCUCUUACAUUUCUAAUUAAAUUAAAUAAUUUAAUUAAAAUAUAUUCACCGCCACAAAUGUACAAAUAUUAUGUCCAUUAAUUAUUAACUAUAUUAGUAAACAGUAUUAUAAUUAAUUAAUUAAAUAGUCAAAAAUGCAAAAUCAAUGCAUACUUAUAUAAUAUAUGAUGUAGUUUUGGUUUUAUUUGUGAAGUUGCUAAAGUGUUUGAAUGAGAUUUAUCAAUCUAGAGAAAUUAAAGAAAUUAUGUAUUUUUAUAAAUUUUACUUUCCAUUAA